AUUGAACGCUGGCGGCAGGCCUAACACAUGCAAGUCGAGCGAGCGGCGGAGGGGUGCGUAAUGCCUGGGAAUUGCCCAGUCGAGGGGGAUAACAGUUAGAAACGACUGCUAAUUCCGCAUACGAUUGUCUUUCUCAGGUGGGAUUCGCGAGUUGGUGAGGUAAUGGCUCACCAAGGCGACGAUCCCUAGCUGGUCUGAGAGGAUGAUCGGCCACACUGGAACGGAGACACGGUCCAGACUCCUACGGGAGGCAGCAGUGGGGAAUAUUGCACAAUGGGGGAAACCCUGAUGCAGCCAUGCCGCGUGUGUGAAGAAGGCCUUCGGGUUGUAAAGCACUUUCAUCGAGGAGGCGGUACUCGCAGAAGAAGCACCGGCUAACUCCGUGCCAGCAGCCGCGGUAAUAC
rnacentral:rRNA from 1 species